rnacentral:lncRNA from 1 species
ACAAGCCCACUCAUGUACUAGCCAUGUAGUGUCUCCCUUAGACUAACAUGAACAUUGCAUAUGCUCACUUGUUUUGAACGGCCACCAAGGGAUAACAUUUACCUCCAAGAGAGUGAUGCACGUUUCUUUCAACCUAAGCCACUCUCUGGUCCAUGUUACUUCCUUUGUCCAGGUCGUCCAUACAAAGAUCUUGCAUUGCGUCCAUCAUCCAAUCCGUCCAUUAUUCCCAAAUAACUAGAUAAACUAACCUUUAUGUUUUCAAGGUCUUGCCGUGGAAGAGUGUAUCUUGGCUAAGCCGGCUCAUCUUGGA